CCUCAUCAGGGCAAAACGUCUUCAGAAAGGAGGUUCGCUAAAUUAGGAUUCCGGGGCAUCCUCGGUCAAGCUCCCGGGUGGUAUCACAGACAUAGCGCCGGGUCACACCAAAACCUCCUGCGUCAUCCGUGAG
rnacentral:lncRNA from 1 species